GUAGGUGGCAAGCGUUGUCCGGAAUUAUUGGGCGUAAAGCGCGCGCAGGCGGUUCUUUAAGUCUGAUGUGAAAGCCCACGGCUCAACCGUGGAGGGUCAUUGGAAACUGGAGAACUUGAGUACAGAAGAGGAAAGCGGAAUUCCACGUGUAGCGGUGAAAUGCGUAGAGAUGUGGAGGAACACCAGUGGCGAAGGCGGCUUUCUGGUCUGUAACUGACGCUGAGGCGCGAAAGCGUGGGGAGCAAACAGGAUUAGAUACCCUGGUAAUCCACGCCGUAAACGAUGAGUGCUAAGUGUUAGGGGGUUUCCGCCCCCCUUAGUGCUGCAGCUAACGCAUUAAGCAUUCCGCCUGGGAUACGGCGCAAGGCUG
rnacentral:rRNA from 1 species